GCGGGAGUAACUCAAUUGGUAGAGUGUCAGCCUUCCAAUCUGAAUGUUGCGAGUUCGAUCCUCGCCUUCCGCU
rnacentral:tRNA from 1 species